GACGAACGCUGGCGGCGUGCUUAAUACAUGCAAGUCGAACGGAAAGGCCCUGCUCUUGUUGGUUUCUCGAGUGGCGAACGGGUGAGUAACACGUGAGUAACCUGCCCUUGACUUUGGGAUAACUUCAGGAAACUGGGGCUAAUACCGGAUAGGAGCUCCUGCUGCAUGUUGGGGGUUGGAAAGUUUCGGCGGUUGGGGAUGGACUAGCGGCUUAUCAGCUUGUUGGUGGGGUAGUGGCUUACCAAGGGUUUGACGGGUAGCCGGCCUGAGAGGGUGACCGGCCACAUGGGGACUGAGAGACGGCCCAGAAGCCUACGGGAGGCAGCAGGGGGGAAUAUUGCACAAUGAGCGGAAGCCAGAUGCAGCAACGCCGCGUGCGGAAUGACGGCCUACGGGGUGUAAACAGCUUUCGACUGUGACGAAGAGGGAGUGACGGUAAUGGGUAAAGAAGCACCGGCUAACUACGUG
rnacentral:rRNA from 1 species